UAGUCAAUGACUUAGCAAAUGCUGGCUAUUUUUGAAUGACCAAACCGAAAACUGGCUAGACCGUGCUAUUUUAACGAUUACGGUUUGCCCGCAGGAAUAGGAUGCCUGCAUUCCAUGAAAAUGACUCGGUGGUGGAGAUGGAACGCCCAGUGCACAAAGCAAGGGAUGUUAUGCAGGAUCCGGGGAAGGACCGCACCCCAAGGGAUGUUAUGCAGACAACUUAUCCUAAUGCAAGCAUUAGUAGCGGGUUGUCACCUAGCUCUCCUUCAAGUGUAUCUUAAUGUCUAGCCAUAUGGAUUUUUAUAUAUGUGCAACAAUCUAGCCUUGCCCUUUGGCUUCCUUUGUUCUCAUGUCAAUGAUGAUUGAAGUGUCAUCAACUAUGAAUUGUGUAUAUAUAGAGACCUAAACAGCAAUAUGCUAUAAUCAAGCGAUAAUAUUCAAAUUGCCUUCCUCUUUU